rnacentral:rRNA from 1 species
UGACAACUCUAGAGAUAGAGUCUUCCCCUUCGGGGGACAAAGUGACAGGUGGUGCAUGGUUGUCGUCAGCUCGUGUCGUGAGAUGUUGGGUUAAGUCCCGCAACGAGCGCAACCCUUAAGCUUAGUUGCCAGCAUUAAGUUGGGCACUCUAAGUUGACUGCCGGUGACAAACCGGAGGAAGGUGGGGAUGACGUCAAAUCAUCAUGCCCCUUAUGAUUUGGGCUACACACGUGCUACAAUGGACAAUACAAAGGGCAGCUAAACCGCGAGGUCAUGCAAAUCCCAUAAAGUUGUUCUCAGUUCGGAUUGUAGUCUGCAACUCGACUACAUGAAGCUGGAAUCGCUAGUAAUCGUAGAUCAGCAUGCUACGGUGAAUACGUUCCCGGGUCUUGUACACACCGCCCGUCACACCACGAGAGUUCGUAACACCCGAAGCCGGUGGAGUAACCAUUUAUGGAGCUAGCCGUCGAAGGUGGGACAAAUGAUUGGGGUGAAGUCGUAACAAGGUAGCCGUAUCGGAAGGUGC